rnacentral:rRNA from 1 species
AGAGUUUGAUCCUGGCUCAGGAUGAACGCUGGCGGCGUGCUUAACACAUGCAAGUCGAACGAAGCACUUUAAUUGAUUUCUUCGGAAUGAAGUUUUUGUGACUGAGUGGCGGACGGGUGAGUAACGCGUGGGUAACCUGCCUCAUACAGGGGGAUAACAGUUGGAAACGACUGCUAAUACCGCAUAAGCGCACAGGAUUGCAUGAUCCAGUGUGAAAAACUCCGGUGGUAUGAGAUGGACCCGCGUCUGAUUAGCCAGUUGGCGGGGUAACGGCCCACCAAAGCGACGAUCAGUAGCCGACCUGAGAGGGUGACCGGCCACAUUGGGACUGAGACACGGCCCAA